GACGAACGCUGGCGGCGUGCCUAAUACAUGCAAGUAGAACGCUGAAGCGAGGAGCUUGCUCUUCUUGGAUGAGUUGCGAACGGGUGAGUAACGCGUAGGUAACCUGCCUUGUAGCGGGGGAUAACUAUUGGAAACGAUAGCUAAUACCGCAUAACAAUGGAUGACACAUGUCAUUUAUUUGAAAGGGGCAAUUGCUCCACUACAAGAUGGACCUGCGUUGUAUUAGCUAGUAGGUGAGGUAAUGGCUCACCUAGGCGACGAUACAUAGCCGACCUGAGAGGGUGAUCGGCCACACUGGGACUGAGACACGGCCCAGACUCCUACGGGAGGCAGCAGUAGGGAAUCUUCGGCAAUGGGGGCAACCCUGACCGAGCAACGCCGCGUGAGUGAAGAAGGUUUUCGGAUCGUAAAGCUCUGUUGUAAGUCAAGAACGGGUGUGAGAGUGGAAAGUUCACACUGUGACGGUAGCGUACCAGAAAGGGACGGCUAACUACGU
rnacentral:rRNA from 1 species